rnacentral:rRNA from 1 species
CCUACGGGAGGCAGCAGUGGGGAAUAUUGGACAAUGGGCGAAAGCCUGAUCCAGCAAUGCCGCGUGAGUGAUGAAGGCCUUAGGGUUGUAAAGCUCUUUUACCAGGGAUGAUAAUGACAGUACCUGGAGAAUAAGCUCCGGCUAACUCCGUGCCAGCAGCCGCGGUAAUACGGAGGGAGCUAGCGUUGUUCGGAAUUACUGGGCGUAAAGCGUACGUAGGCGGUUAUUCAAGUCAGAGGUGAAAGCCCGGGGCUCAACCCCGGAACUGCCUUUGAAACUAGAUAGCUAGAAUCUUGGAGAGGUUAGUGGAAUUCCGAGUGUAGAGGUGAAAUUCGUAGAUAUUCGGAAGAACACCAGUGGCGAAGGCGACUAACUGGACAAGUAUUGACGCUGAGGUACGAAAGCGUGGGGAGCAAACAGGAUUAGAUACCCUGGUAGUCCACGCCGUAAACGAUGAUAACUAGCUGUUCGGGCACUUGGUGCCCUGAGUGGCGCNGCUACGACAUUAAGUUAUUACCGUCCGUCGGGAGGUACGGUCGGCGAGAGUAAACUAACGAAAGAAGUAGACGGCGUGNGAGUUGUCGACGGACGACGACGAGGGAGGAGG